rnacentral:misc_RNA from 1 species
UACGUAGGGGGCAAGCGUUGUCCGGAAUUAUUGGGCGUAAAGGGCGCGCAGGCGGCGCGUUAAGUCUGAUGUGAAAGGCCGAGGCUCAACCUCGGGAUGGCAUUGGAAACUGGCGGGCUUGAGUACAGGAGAGGAGAGUGGAAUUCCCGGUGUAGCGGUGAAAUGCGUAGAGAUCGGGAGGAACACCAGUGGCGAAGGCGGCUCUCUGGCCUGUAACUGACGCUGAGGCGCGAAAGCGUGGGGAGCGAACAGG